AGUCUGCGGUGGCACACACUUCCCCAGCCCCAUCCUUGGAGGGCCCUCUCCUUGGGAUGCCUGAUCCAGUGAUUAGGGACCACUUUUCUUUGGGUUCUAGGGGGUUCCAUGCCUGGGGACGCCUCAACCCACUGGAGUGACUCAGGGAUGGGUUGUGCCUCAACCGUUGAAAAAGGACAGCCCAGGCUCUGUAACCUUCGGUAGCCUCCAGAUCUCACAGUCCCCACCCCUCCCCCUUCUUGUCACAAAGGCCACUGUGGGUGGAGGAACAGUGGGAGUUUGACCCUAGCUCCUGGCCUUGAACUUUCCACAGUGACCCUGCUUGUACCUCUCCUCUACCAAUUAACAUUUAUAGUCACACAGGCUUGGAGGUGGCAAGAAGGGUUUAAAUGCUGGGGCAGAAUCACUUAUAAGAAUGUGGUCUGCCAUUUACUAGCUGUAGGCCCUGAGGGAAAUCUCAGCCCUCAGCUACCACAUCAGUAAAAAUGGGGCAAUAAUACCUGUCCUAACUAGUGGAGAUUGCAGUGAGACGAGAUCGCACCACCGCACUCCAGCCUGGGCAACAGAGUGAGACUCCGUCCCCCCACCCCAAAAAAGAGGAAUACUAAUAUCUACUCUACUGAGUGGUUGUGAUGAUCAACUGAGAUAACACAGAUAAAGUUCAGGACCUGGUCCAAAGUACUAUGGUUAAAAAAAAAAAGUUUCCUCUCCUCCCUCCCUCUUUCUGUCCCUAUAAUCUUCCCUUCUCUUUAUCUGACCCCUCUUUUCUAUUCCCUUUCUUGCUUUAUUUUUCUCUGUAACAUAUCACCAAGUAGCAUUCUUUACAUUUUAAUGGCUUAUUUUAUCACUUUUCUGAUCCCCAUGUCUGUUUAAUCACUGCUGUAUCCAAUGCCUGCC
rnacentral:lncRNA from 1 species